AGGUAUACUGGUGUUCUGUUCUUUCCUUCUCAGAAAGGCCUCUUAAAGCCUCAUAAUCUGCUCCAAUAUAGAUGGAUUAAUCUCAGAGCCUACUAGAGCUCUGUAGUCUUGGAACCUUCAUUCAUAUUUGUGUUCUCUUGCUUCCUGGACACACACACAUACACACACUCUCUCUCUUUCCCUCUUUGUUUACUCCCUCAUUUUCAUGGAGCACAUCCUCUAGAAAGACCUUGCAUGUCUUAAAAUGACUUCAUUCUACUCUCAUAUUUAGUUGAUAUUUGUUUGGGUAUGAAAUUUCAGGAAAAAAAAAAAACACAAAUGUCCUCAGUAUUUUGAGGCAUUAUUCAGUUGAUUCUAACCUUCAUUUGUUGUCCUCCUGAUAUCCAAGCCAUUCUUAAUUCUUCUUACAACCUACUUUUUCUUCCUUGAUACUUUUAGAAUCUUCUUUGUGUCCAACUUUAUCUUCCAACUAUUUAUUGAGUCUUUUAAAAAUUCUUAUCUUAUUUUUCAUUUCUAAUGCCUCUAUUCUUUGAAUGCUAUAGGAAGUUUGUCAGCAAACUUUAGAAAAUUAAAAGCAAUGAACUAAACAGUUUAUUGAAAGCUCUGUGUGUGCAAGCAUGUGGCUUAUUGUCUAAGGGCUUUUCUGUAGAGUGGCCUGUAUGAUAGAAACUCCACUGUCAGUCAGUAAUUUUUGCUCUUUUCUCUUGACUAGUGAGACUAGUUAGAGUCCUCAGUGAAUGUGCUUCUAAUCUCCUACCUGGGGGACAAAAGCCUGGCUGCUCACCCACUAUGUUACUGUAUAGUCUUUCAGUAUAGAGACAGUGUAUUUUAUAUUCUGGAGAUGUUAAAACUCCCAGGGCAAGGAAGGAACUGUUGUCUAGCUGCACAAGAAAGUAGAGAGAAUCUGAAAACCAAACUCUUUUUUAAAAAGACUUUCGGCUGUAAUUUAAUUUUUAGCCUGUAUCUCUCCUGCUCCCAUCUGCAGGGGUUACUGGUAUCAUUAAUGCGGAUCCUUUUUGAGUUCUUUGGUAUAAAAUUAAGUUGCUUUUCAGAUGCUCACUGCUAAUUUAGUAUUCAGCUUUCUAGUCCAUCUGCUUUCCAGUUUCCAAAAAUUUAUCAUGAUUGUGUUCUCUCCUAUUAUCUUUGUCCUUGCUAUGCUAUCUAAAAAAAUCCUUUUAUUGUUGUGUUACUGGGGUUUAAAUGAGGAAUGGAAGCUAAUGCAUAUGUUCAACCUACCAUUUUAACAAAUGUAACCCUGUUAUUAUUAAUCCAAUUAUAGCCGAUAUGUUAGAUAGGGAAAAAAUUCAUAUCUUCAUAGCCAUUUCCUCUCAUUUGAAGGGAGAUCAGGGCAAAAAUUAGAAUAUAUGCAUAAUAUUUAAUAAUUUUAGGUUUGUCUAAGACCCCAAACCGGAUAAUUCUAAGUCCAUAAAUCUUUCCUAACUGUUUAAAUUCCAGUUUAUUUCAGCAUCAUGAGUCAUUAAAGCAGAGAGUUCGUGAGAGAGGAAAGCAGUUGGCUCAUGUUCCAAAACAACUCUGAGUGUUUACUGGACUUCAGGAAGCUUAUCUUGGUACACUCAGAUCAAAGCUAUUCACACAAUGACUGAAUAAACACACUGGCUAAUGAUGAUGGCAAAGAUUCUGAUAUGAUACUAAGGAAAAUACAAAUACUAGGACAAGAAAACUUUGAAAAGCAUUAAGAAUUUAAUUGAGAAGUAAACCUUUUCACUUCAUGGGAACGAGUGUGCUAAGUCAUCAGUCUAAGCAUGUGCUGGUGUGAAUUGCAUAACUGCAACUCUUAUUAGACAAUUAUUAUUUGAAUACUUAUUCUGGUAUAUUCUCCUAGGCUAUCAUAUCACUUUUAAAUAAUACAUUCAAAAUUAUUGCAGUCAAUAUAUAUUUAUGACACAAGAUUGUAAUUGACAUUGGCAUUAAGUUAGGCAGUGUCUAGAUUGUUUCUUUAGAUUCUUUAUAUCAAAACAAUGUGUUAACAAUGGGAUGAAAGAAAGUAGCUUCCAGUUUCUGAAUUGGAGAUUUUUCUUUGCAGGAUUUUUAAUGCUAUUGUUCUUUUUUAAAAAGUGGAAGUAUGUCUCAUCUUAGAAUAAUUAUGCUGUGCUCUAGAUGCUUGUCCCUGGGAAAACUGAACUUACAGUAGCUCUGUCACUGUCUUCCCCAAACAAGGCUGAAGCUGUGCUGCAUACUCUUACCUAGCCUAGGAUGUCAUGAAACAUCACUCUGCUGCAUUCUGUUGGAUACUGAUGAGUCAAAACUUGCCAUUUUCAAAGGAAAAGAAUGCAGACACCUCUUAAAAGAGCAGGUAGUUAGAAUGCAACACUGGAAGAAUGUGAGUUUGAGACUAGAAAGAAAAAUUGAGGUAGCAUUCAUAUGGCAACUUCAUAUGACUUGAUGACGUGAGAUUCAACUGUUCUCCUUAGUGUGUUCUCUCUGCAAUUCCAGACCCCAUGAAAUAAAUCUCUGAAGCUUGCUUGUCUCCCAAACACUGUGUAAACCCACUGAAAACUUAAGUAAUGGAGUAAACAGCUUUCUGCGGCUUCCUGCUUUUA